rnacentral:rRNA from 1 species
ACGAACGCUGGCGGCACGCUUAACACAUGCAAGUCGAACGAGAGAAGAGAAGCUUGCUUUUCUGAUCUAGUGGCGGACGGGUGAGUAACACGUGAGCAAUCUGCCUUUCAGAGGGGGAUACCGAUUGGAAACGAUCGUUAAUACCGCAUAACAUAAUUGAACCGCAUGAUUUGAUUAUCAAAGAUUUAUCGCUGAAAGAUGAGCUCGCGUCUGAUUAGCUAGUUGGUAAGGUAACGGCUUACCAAGGCGACGAUCAGUAGCCGGACUGAGAGGUUGAUCGGCCACAUUGGGACUGAGACACGGCCCAGACUCCUACGGGAGGCAGCAGUGGGGAAUAUUGCACAAUGGAGGAAACUCUGAUGCAGCGAUGCCGCGUGAGGGAAGAAGGUUUUAGGAUUGUAAACCUCUGUCUUCAGGGACGAAAAAAGACGGUACCUGAGGAGGAAGCUCCGGCUAACUACGUGCCAGCAGCCGCGGUAAUACGUAGGGAGCGAGCGUUGUCCGGAAUUACUGGGUGUAAAGGGAGCGUAGGCGGGAUCGCAAGUCAGAUGUGAAAACUAUGGGCUUAACCCAUAAACUGCAUUUGAAACUGUGGUUCUUGAGUGAAGUAGAGGUAAGCGGAAUUCCUAGUGUAGCGGUGAAAUGCGUAGAUAUUAGGAGGAACAUCAGUGGCGAAGGCGGCUUACUGGGCUUUAACUGACGCUGAGGCUCGAAAGCGUGGGGAGCAAACAGGAUUAGAUACCCUGGUAGUCCACACCGUAAACGAUGAUUACUAGGUGUUGGAGGAUUGACCCCUUCAGUGCCGCAGUUAACACAAUAAGUAAUCCACCUGGGGAGUACGACCGCAAGGUUGAAACUCAAAGGAAUUGACGGGGGCCCGCACAAGCAGUGGAGUAUGUGGAUUAAUUCGAAGCAACGCGAAGAACCUUACCAGGUCUUGACAUCGUAUGCAUAGCUCAGAGAUGAGUGAAAUCUCUUCGGAGACAUAUAGACAGGUGGUGCAUGGUUGUCGUCAGCUCGUGUCGUGAGAUGUUGGGUUAAGUCCCGCAACGAGCGCAACCCUUAUUGCCAGUUACUACGCAAGAGGACUCUGGCGAGACUGCCGUUGACAAAACGGAGGAAGGUGGGGAUGACGUCAAAUCAUCAUGCCCCUUAUGACCUGGGCCUCACACGUACUACAAUGGCUGUUAACAGAGGGAUGCAAAGCCGCGAGGUGGAGCGAACCCCUAAAAGCAGUCUUAGUUCGGAUUGUAGGCUGCAACCCGCCUACAUGAAGUCGGAAUUGCUAGUAAUCGCAGAUCAGCAUGCUGCGGUGAAUACGUUCCCGGGCCUUGUACACACCGCCCGUCACGCCAUGGGAGUCGGUAACACCCGAAGCCUGUAGUCUAACCGCAAGGAGGACGCAGUCGAAGGUGGGAUUGAUGACUGGGGUG